GACAGAGGUGCCAAGCGUUAGGCGGAAUCACUGGGCUUAAAGCGUGUGUAGGCGGAUCGUUAAGUACCUUGUGAAAUCCCACGGCUCAACCGUGGAACUGCUUGGUAUACUGGCGAUCUUGAGCCACCUAGGGGCAACUGGAACAAGCGGUGGAGCGGUGAAAUGCGUAGAUAUCGCUUGGAACGCCGACGGUGAAAACAGCUCGCUGGGGGUGUGCCGACGCUGAGACACGAAAGCCAGGGGAGCGAACGGG
rnacentral:rRNA from 1 species